rnacentral:rRNA from 1 species
GAUGAGCUUUAGAUCCUGGCUCAGCGAUGAACGCUAGCCGGCAGGCAUUAAUACUAUGCAAGUCGAGCAGCACGGGUAGCAAUACCUGGUGGCGACCGGCGCACGGGUGCGCUGAACGCGUUAUGUAAUCUACCAUUAACGCGUAGCUCCAGAGAAAUCUGGAUUAAUGCCCCAUAGUAUUAUCGAAAGGCAUCUUCAUUGAUAAUUAAAGCUCAGGCGGUUCAUGAUGAACAUGCGUGUCAUUAGUUUGUUGGUGAGGUAACGGCAGCUCACCAAGACUACGAUGACUAGGGGGUCUGAGAGGAUGAUCCCCCACACUGGUACUGAGACACGGACCAGACUCCUACGGGAGGCAGCAGUAAGGAAUAUUGGGCAAUGGAGGCAACUCUGACCCAGCCAUGCCGCGUGAAGGAUGACGGCCCUAUGGGUUGUAAACUGCUAGUAUACACCAAGAAAAACAUCCACGUGUGGGUGCUGGAGUAGUGUAUGAAUAAGCAUCGGCCGACUCCUGUGCCAGCAGCCGCGGUAAUACGGAGCGAUGCAAGCGUUAAUCCGGAUUCAUUGGGUCUAACUGGUGCGUAGGCGGCUAGUAAGUCAGUGGUGACCGUAGCCGCUUAACGGUAGAAUUGCCAUUGAUACUGAAAAGCUUGAGUACAUUUGAGGUAAGCGGAAUGUGUAGUGUAGCGGUGAAAUGCUUAGAUAUUACACAGAACACCAAUUGCGGCGCAGCUUACUAAACUGAUACUGACGCUGAUGCACGACUGCGUGGGCCUGAGCGAACAGGAUUAGAUACCCUGGUAGUCCACGCCGUAAACGAUGCUCACUCGCUGUUUGCGAUACACAGCAACUAGCCAAGCGAAAGCAUUAAGUGAGCCACCUGGGGAGUACGAUCGCAAGGUUGAAACUCAAAGGAAUUGACGGGGGCCCGCACAAGCGGAGGAACAUGUGGUUUAAUUCGAUGAUACGCGAGGAACCUCACCUGGGCUUAAAUGUAGAGCGACAGAUUGAGAAAGCAGUCCUUCUGCGGACGAUCUACAAGGUCGCUGCAUGGUUGUCGAUCAGCUCGUGCCGUGAGCGUGUCGGGUCCCAUAACGAGCGCAACCCUGACAUACUAGCCAGCGGAUCAUGCCGGCGGGACUCUAGCGAGACUGCCACCGUAAGGUGUGAGGACAGGUGGAUGGAUGACGUUCAAAUGCAGCACGGCCCUUAUGUCCAGGGCUACACACGUGUUACAAUGGCCGAUACAAAGGGCAGCUACCAGGUGACUGGAUGCUAAUCUCCAAAGCAGUUCGGAUCGAAGUCUGCAACCCGACUUCGUCUGCUGGAUUCGCUAGUAAUCGCAUAUCAGCCAUGAUGCGGUGAAUACGUUCCCGGGCCUUGUACACACCGCCCGUCAGUCAAUGGAAGCUGGGGGUACCUGAAGUCUGUAACCGCAAGCCUAGCCUAGAAACUAGUAACUGGUGUUAAGUCGUAACAAGGUUAACAC